AACCAUUAGCUCAAUGUCUUUAGCAGCACCAGCUGUAGCAGUAGCAAGUGGGUGGAGUUAAUUCUGGUCCUCUGUUACNCACUCCACAGACCAGUCUACUGGGAACACCACAAAUGGUCACAUGAUAAAGAUAAGAGGAGACACUCACGAUCAAGAAGCCGUUCAAGAUCUCAUUCACCGAGAAGGAAAUCAACAUCAAGACGUAAGGAUAGAGGGAGGGAUUAUUCCUACAGUCCUAGUCCAGAGAGGAGGAGGAGUAGUAAGAAUCUAAAAAAGACAAGAAGCACAAGAGAAGGUCUCCCUCUGUCUCUCCCUCAGUCUCUCCUCCUCCACGUAAAAGAGGUGGUUCUGAUAAAGGUGAAGGAGAGGAGGAGGAGAUGAAGGAAGAGGAAGAGUUCUCUGAUGGAAGUGCUCCUUCUGAGGAGGAGAGACAAUCAAGUCCUUCAGCAUCAGAA